rnacentral:rRNA from 1 species
AACGAACGCUGGCGGCAGGCUUAACACAUGCAAGUCGAACGCCCCGCAAGGGGAGUGGCAGACGGGUGAGUAACGCGUGGGAACAUACCCAUUCCUGCGGAAUAGCUCUGGGAAACUGGAAUUAAUACCGCAUACGCCCUACGGGGGAAAGAUUUAUCGGGGAAGGAUUGGCCCGCGUUGGAUUAGCUAGUUGGUGGGGUAAAGGCCUACCAAGGCGACGAUCCAUAGCUGGUCAGAGAGGAUGAUCAGCCACAUUGGGACUGAGACACGGCCCAAACUCCUACGGGAGGCAGCAGUGGGGAAUAUUGGACAAUGGGCGCAAGCCUGAUCCAGCCAUGCCGCGUGAGUGAUGAAGGCCUUAGGGUUGUAAAGCUCUUUCACCGAUGAAGAUAAUGACGGUAGUCGGAGAAGAAGCCCCGGCUAACUUCGUGCCAGCCGCCGCCGUAAAAC